AUUGAACGCUGGCGGCAUGCCUUACACAUGCAAGUCGAACGGCAGCACGGGAGCAAUCCUGGUGGCGAGUGGCGAACGGGUGAGUAAUAUAUCGGAACGUGCCCAGUCGUGGGGGAUAACGCAGCGAAAGCUGUGCUAAUACCGCAUACGAUCUACGGAUGAAAGCGGGGGAUCGCAAGACCUCGCGCGAUUGGAGCGGCCGAUAUCAGAUUAGCUAGUUGGUGGGGUAAAGGCCUACCAAGGCGACGAUCUGUAGCUGGUCUGAGAGGACGACCAGCCACACUGGAACUGAGACACGGUCCAGACUCCUACGGGAGGCAGCAGUGGGGAAUUUUGGACAAUGGGCGCAAGCCUGAUCCAGCAAUGCCGCGUGCAGGAUGAAGGCCUUCGGGUUGUAAACUGCUUUUGUACGGAACGAAACGGUGAGCUCUAAUACAGUUUGCUAAUGACGGUACCGUAAGAAUAAGCACCGGCUAACUACGUGCCAGCAGCCGCAGUAACAC
rnacentral:rRNA from 1 species